rnacentral:rRNA from 1 species
GACGAACGCUGGCGGCGUGCCUAAUACAUGCAAGUUGAGCGCUGAAGGUUGGUACUUGUACCAACUGGAUGAGCAGCGAACGGGUGAGUAACGCGUGGGAAAUCUGCCUUUGAGCGGGGGACAACAUUUGGAAACGAAUGCUAAUACCGCAUAAAAACUUUAAACACAAGUUUUAAGUUUGAAAGAUGCAAUUGCAUCACUCAAAGAUGAUCCCGCGUUGUAUUAGCUAGUUGGUGAGGUAAAGGCUCACCAAGGCGAUGAUACAUAGCCGACCUGAGAGGGUGAUCGGCCACAUUGGGACGGAGACACGGCCCAAACUCCUACGGGAGGCAGCAGUAGGGAAUCUUCGGCAAUAGACGAAAGUCUGACCGAGCAACGCCGCGUGAGUGAAGAAGGUUUUCGGAUCGUAAAACUCUGUUGGUAGAGAAGAACGUUGGUGAGAGUGGAAAGCUCAUCAAGUGACGGUAACUACCCAGAAAGGGACGGCUAACUACGUG